CGGUGGGACGCCGCAAUGGUGCGGCAGCGGGCUGUAACCCCGUGGCGCUUCGGCGCAGGCAGGUUCGAUCCCUGCCCCACCGA
rnacentral:tRNA from 1 species